rnacentral:rRNA from 1 species
CCUACGGGAGGCAGCAGUGGGGAAUAUUGCACAAUGGGCGCAAGCCUGAUGCAGCCAUGCCGCGUGUGUGAAGAAGGCCUUCGGGUUGUAGAGCACUUCCAGCGGGGAGGAAGGCGGUGAGGUUAAUAACCUCAUCGAUUGACGUUACCCGCAGAAGAAGCACCGGCUAACUCCGUGCCAGCAGCCGCGGUAAUACGGAGGGUGCAAGCGUUAAUCGGAAUUACUGGGCGUAAAGCGCACGCAGGCGGUCUGUCAAGUCGGAUGUGAAAUCCCCGGGCUCAACCUGGGAACUGCAUUCGAAACUGGCAGGCUAGAGUCUUGUAGAGGGGGGUAGAAUUCCAGGUGUAGCGGUGAAAUGCGUAGAGAUCUGGAGGAAUACCGGUGGCGAAGGCGGCCCCCUGGACAAAGACUGACGCUCAGGUGCGAAAGCGUGGGGAGCAAACAGGAUUAGAUACCCGAGUAGUC